CCACGUGCCCAGUCCCGGUGCCAGUCCCAUUCCCGGUGCUCCAUCCCCGUUUGUUCCCGCUCCCGUUCCCGGUGUCCCCGCUCCCCGUUCGUCCCCGUCCUGGUGUCCCAUCCCCGUUUGUUCCCGUUCCCGGUGCAAAUUCCCAUCCCCGGUGUCCCUCGUUCCUGGUGUCCCAUCCCCGGUGUCCCCCAUCCCCGGUGUCCCCGUCCCCUUUUGUUCCCGCUCCCAGUCCCGGUGUCCCCAUCCCCGUUUGUUCCCGUUCCUGGUGCCAAUUCCCAUUCCCGGUGUCCCCGCUCCCCGUCCGUCCCCGCUGCCGGUGUCCCCCAUUCCCGGUGUCCCAUCCCCGGUGUCCCCGUCCCGGUGUCCCCGUCCCCGUUUGUUCCCGCUCCCAUUCCCGGUGUCCCAUUCCCGGUGUCCCCUUUCCCGGUGUCCCAUUCCCGGUGUCCCCCUUUCCCGGUGCCACCCCCGCCCCGCCCCGCCCCGCCCCGCCCCGCCCCGCCCCGCCCCGCCGCCCGUUGCCCUUUGCCCGGUGCCCGUUGCCGCUCGCCCCGUGCCCGUUGUCCUCGCCCGUUGUCCCUGGCCCGGUGCCCGUUGCCCUUCGCCCCGUGCCCGUUGCUCCCGGCCCGCUGCCGGUGGCCGCUUCCCUCGGCCACCCCCGCCGCUCGCACCGGGCCGGCUCCGUCCCUUCCCGGGGAGCGGCUCCGUC
rnacentral:lncRNA from 1 species